rnacentral:rRNA from 1 species
UACGUAGGGUGCGAGCGUUUGUCCGGAAUUACUGGGCGUAAAGAGCUCGUAGGUGGUUUGUCGCGUUGUUCGUGAAAUCUCACGGCUUAACUGUGAGCGUGCGGGCGAUACGGGCAGACUUGAGUACUGCAGGGGAGACUGGAAUUCCUGGUGUAGCGGUGGAAUGCGCAGAUAUCAGGAGGAACACCGGUGGCGAAGGCGGGUCUCUGGGCAGUAACUGACGCUGAGGAGCGAAAGCGUGGGGAGCGAACAGG